UUGUCCAUCGGGGCCUCGGAUACCUGUUUUUAUUUUU
rnacentral:ncRNA from 1 species